GGCUUCGGAGAAAGCGCGCAAACUCCACUGUGUUGAGAAUGACCAAGGGUCGGGGCGAAUCCUUACACGUAACAGGUUUUGCGUGUACGAUUCCCGGUCACGAUUUGGCGUGAAACUGUCACCAGCCAAGACUGCAGAUGAGAAAUGAGGAAGAAGAACCGGAAAGGGAAUGGAGGCUGAGAAAAGGAAAUCCCAGCCAGAUCGGAGCUUUUAGUGAAGGGAAAUACACCGAGAUUGUUUUUGUAAAGUAAAAAAGCCAACAUAGAUUAAACAACAGGCGGUGAAUACUUAUUCUUUUGGGAAAUUGAAGAGUAUUUGUGAGUGGAAAGUAUGCCUCCCAAGUUCAAGCGCCACCUUAAUGAUGAUGAUGUCACUGGGUCUGUGAAAAGUGAAAGGAGAAAUCUUUUGGAAGAUGAUUCAGAUGAAGAAGAGGACUUUUUCCUACGGGGACCAUCUGGACCACGAUUUGGACCUAGAAAUGAUAAAAUUAAGCAUGUUCAGAAUCAGGUGGAUGAAGUUAUUGAUGUAAUGCAAGAAAAUAUUACAAAGGUAAUUGAAAGAGGAGAGAGACUGGAUGAGCUACAGGACAAAUCAGAGAGCUUAUCGGAUAAUGCAACCGCUUUCAGCAACAGAUCCAAACAGCUUCGAAGGCAAAUGUGGUGGCGUGGAUGCAAAAUAAAAGCCAUCAUGGCUUUGGCUGCAGCCAUCCUUUUGCUAAUGAUUAUCAUUCUUAUAGUUGUGAAAUACCGUACUUGAUUUGAUGACAGAGAUCCUCAUUAAACAAGAUCUGGGACGAUAAUGUUUAAAGAUUGCUGCAUAAUUUAAACGAAACCUAUGUAUAUAAUUUUCAAACUUUCUUUUUCAAGAAACUAAAAGCUCAGAUCAUCCUGCACUUGAAAAAAUGAAGUUUUACCAUCAUCAAAACUAUCAUUAUUUAACAGCAAUGAAGAUCAACAGAAAAAUUCAAGUAGCUUUGCUAACGUUAGUUGAUGCCCAGUGAAAUCAGGUCACUGCUCCAUGCCUCAAGCUCCCUUGUUGUCUGUGUGUUAACAGGAGCCUCUUCCCUCAGCAGCUUGUGAUGAGGGGGCCCCUCCUCCAUCAUAACCCCGUGGUACCUGUGGUCUUUUGAUUCCUUGGUUCUCACAAAACUCACUGGAAAUUGUCCCAAACGUUUAUAAACUGGGAAACUUACAGAUUAAAGGAAGGUCCAGUAUUGAUGACGGAACAUUGUUUAAAAUGGAGAUGUAACACACAUCAGGUACAGAGGUGCCUGUGGCAGUGUGCCUGUAGACUAUCAUGACAGUUCUUUCCUGGGUUCUGGGUUAGAAAGUAAUGUUAGCAUUUUGAUUGCAGAAAUCGACACCUUUCUGUUCUGUCCAGCGUGUGGCUACCCUGUAAAUGUGUACACAUGCACAGGGUGAGGAUCAGACGUGAAGAGUGUGACAUCUCUCCUUGCAACUUACACCUGUUCUGUGUCAGCACUGUAGCCCAGACAGACUUGUAUUUACAUCUUGUAUAUAUGUUAUGGUUAAAAAGUAUGCAAGAAGUUUUUUCAAUGUUGAAAACAAAUGUCAGAUGUUCUUAGCUGUACUGAGUCAGUGUUUCCUAAAUUGGGACUGUACUAUUAAUCAAAUUUUGUGUUUUCACAUAGGAAUAUUAUUGGAGUCAGUUUUACUUUUCUGUGAGAGGUAAUAAGAAUGUGAGUCAAUCUAAACCCAUUUUUGGGUGGGAAGGCAGUUGCCAAAAAAUAGUGUAAAGACAAUGGCUCAGAAGGAGCAGAAAGGGGCCAUCUUAGUCCAUACAAAUGCCGCCCUUCCUCAGACUGACAGAGUCUGAGCUUAUUUUGGGGGUCUUCGUUGUUUUG